rnacentral:rRNA from 1 species
AUGAACACUGGCGGCGUGUCUAAGGCAUGCAAGUCGAGUGGGUUUAGACCCACGGCAAACGGGUGCGUAACACAUUGGUAACCUACCCCUGACUCGGGCAUAACCAACCGAAAGGUUGGAUAAUUCCCGAUAGGCAUGAGGGGACAAAAGUCAUUCUCAUGUAAAGUUUUUUCGGUUGGGGAGGGGCCUAUGGCCCAUCAGCUAGUUGGUAAGGUAAUGGCUUACCAAGGCUAUGACGGGUAGCGGGUGUGAGAGCAUGACCCGCCUCACUGGGACUGAGAACUGCCCAGACUCCUACGGGAGGCUGCAGUCGAGAAUAUUCCGCAAUGGCCGAAAGGCUGACGGAGCGACGCCGCGUGCAGGAAGACGCCCUUCGGGGUGUAAACUGCUUUUCUAUGGGAGGAAUUCGUGACGUUACCAUAGGAAUAAGUCACUGCUAACUUCGU